AUGAACGCUGGCGGCGUGCCUAAUACCUGCAAGUCGCGCGAACGGACGAGAAGCUUGCUUCUCUGAUGUUAGCGGCGGACGGGUGAGUAACACGUGGAUAACCUACCUACAAGACUGGGAUAACUUCGGGAAACCGUAGCUAAUACCGGAUAAUAUUUUGAACCGCAUGGUUCAAAAGUGUAAGACGGUCUUGCUGUCACUUAUAGAUGGAUCCGCGCUGCAUUAGCUAGUUGGUAAGGUAACGGCUUACCAAGGCAACGAUGCAUAGCCGACCUGAGAGGGUGAUCGGCCACACUGGAACUGAGACACGGUCCAGACUCCUACGGGAGGCAGCAGUAGGGAAUCUUCCGCAAUGGGCGAAAGCCUGACGGAGCAACGCCGCGUGAGUGAUGAAGGUCUUCGGAUCGUAAAACUCUGUUAUUAGGGAAGAACAUAUGUGUAAGUAACUGUGCACAUCUUGACGGUACCUAAUCAGAAAGCCACGGCUAACUACGUG
rnacentral:rRNA from 1 species